GUGGGGAAUCUUGCACAAUGGGCGAAAGCCUGAUGCAGCGACGCCGCGUGAGCGAUGAAGGCCUUCGGGUUGUAAAGCUCUGUGGGGAGGGACGAAUAUGGGUUGGCUAAUAUCCAGCUCGAUGACGGUACCUCCUUAGCAAGCACCGGCUAACUCUGUGCCAGCAGCCGCGGUAAGACAGAGGGUGCAAACGUUGUUCGGAAUCACUGGGCGUAAAGCGCGUGUAGGCGGCUACGUAAGUCGGACGUGAAAUCCCACGGCUCAACCGUGGAAGUGCGCUCGAAACUGUGUAGCUUGAGUCCUGGAGAGGAAGACGGAAUACUUGGUGUAGAGGUGAAAUUCGUAGAUAUCAGGUAGAACACCAGUGGCGAAGGCGGUCUUCUGGACAGUGACUGACGCUGAGACGCGAAAGCGUGGGGAGCAAACAGGAUUAGAAACCCUAGUAGUCC
rnacentral:rRNA from 1 species